rnacentral:rRNA from 1 species
CCUACGGGGUGCAGCAGUGGGGAAUAUUGGACAAUGGGCGAAAGCCUGAUCCAGCCAUGCCGCGUGUGUGAAGAAGGCCUUCGGGGUGUAAAGCACUUUCAGUGGGGAAGAAAGCCUUGGGGCUAAUACCCUCGAGGAAGGACAUCACCCACAGAAGAAGCACCGGCUAACUCCGUGACAGCAGCCGCGGUAAUACGGAGGGUGCGAGCGUUAAUCGGAAUUACUGGGCGUAAAGCGCGCGUAGGCGGUCUGAUAAGCCGGUUGUGAAAGCCCCGGGCUCAACCUGGGAACGGCAUCCGGAACUGUCAGGCUAGAGGGCAGGAGAGGAAGGUAGAAUUCCCGGUGUAGCGGUGAAAUGCGUAGAGAUAGGGAGGAAUACCAGUGGCGAAGGCGGCCUUCUGGACUGACACUGACGAUGAGGUGCGAAAGCGUGGGUAGCAAACAGGAUUAGAUACCCGAGUAGUC